GGCACAAUCUCGGCUCACUGCAACCUCCACUUUCCACGUUCAAGCAAUUCUCCUGCCUCAGCCUCCCGUGUAGCUGGGAUUAUAGGCAUGCACCACCAUGCUAGGCUAAUUUUGUAUGUUUAGUAGAGACAGUGUUUCACCACGUUGGUCAGGCUGGUCUUGAACUGACCUUAAGUGAUCCACCCACCUCGGCCUCGCAAAGUGCUGGGAUUACAGACGUGAGCCACCGCGCCUGGCCCUUUCUACAUUUCUUGUUCUCAUUUUGUUUUUAACUUAAUUUCAUUAUGAAGUAUAAUAGACAAGCAGAAAAGUGCACAAAGUAGAUAUAUGGUUAAAUUAAUUAUUACUAAAUGAACACUUGUGAUUAUCCAGGUCAAGAAACAGAACAUUGCCAACACCCUCAGAAGCCCCCAUCAUGCCCCUCCCCGAUAAUUUUCCCUCCUCUUCUCCCUAGAUAACCAUUUUUUUGUUUGUUUUUUUGAUUUGUUUGUUUGUUUUUGUUGAGACAUGGUCUUUCUCUGUUGCCCAGGCUAGAGUGCAGUGGCGUGAUCAUGGUUUGUUGCAGUCUCAAAGUCCUGGGUUCAAAGGAUCCUUCCACGUCAGCCUCCCAAGUAGCUGGGACUACAGGCACACCACCACACCUAGCUAAUUUUUUUAUUUUUAUUUUUGCAGAGACAAAGUCUUACUAUGUUAUCCAGGCUGGUGUGGAACUCCUGACCUCAAGCAGUCCUCCCACCUCAGCCUCCCAAAUUGCUGGGAUUAUAGAUGUGAACCACUGUGCCUGGCCAAUAACCACCUUUAACUCUAUACUUUAAGUUUACCUGGUUUUGACAUUUAUAGAAAUUGGGACAUGCCUAGGAUUGGAAUUACUGCUUCAUGUGAUAUGCAUAUUCAACAUUAGUAGAUUUUCUUUUCCUUCCUUCCUUCUUUCCUUCCUUCCUUCCUCCUUUCCUUCCUUCCUUUCCUUCCUUCCUUCCUUCCUUUUCUUUCUUUCCUUUUCUUUUCUUUCUUUCCUUCUUUUCUUUCUUUUUUUUUCUUUUCUUUCUCACAGGGUCUCACUCUAUCUGGGCUAGUCCCAAACUCCUCGGCUUAAGCAAUCCUCCCACCUCAGCCUCCCAAAAUGCUGGGAUUAUCAACAUUAGUAGAUAUUACCAUACACUUUUUCCAGUGUGAUGUAUGAAUUUAUAUAGUCUUCAGCAGUUGAUGAGUUUUCAUUAUGCCACAUCCUUGCCAAGAGUUGGUAUUGUUGUUGUUCUUUUAAAUUUUAGCCAUUAGGUAAAAAUUUUAGAGCCUAAAAUUUUUAAAUGGCCAGUUCUGCAAGGAUUUCCUCUCUUGGAUAUUUUUUUAAAAACCUUUUAUUUUGAAUUUUAGACUUGGAUAGAAGUUGUGAAAAUAGCAAAGAAAUUUCCCAUGUACCUGUCACCUAGCCUACCCUGGCCCGUCUCUAUAAAAACAACAAAAACCCACUCUCACACAUUUGCACACUGUGCGUCUACCUGUUGGGGGAGCUGUGCACAUGGGUAAAGUCCCAGGGUCACUGGUUGAAGUUCACUUUGCAUUAUGACACACUCAGAAGGAAAGAUAAGUUUCUGCCCUUACAUCCAAUUUUACUUGAAGACAACUUUCUGUAGGUGAGGCCAGUGAGAUAACUUUCUGCUGACACCCCACAGCAUCCUCGUUCCUUCUGCCGGACUUCCAGAUUUCUAUUUCUGGCCCAAACCUCUCUCCUGAACAUCACUCCAUGGAUUCGUCUACAACCACUUCUAGUAUUUUCUUCCACAGCCAGGGAAGAAGUCCAUAAACAGCUCCCGGCUACAUCAUACUUAGGACGCCCAGAAAAAUGUAUCAGUAUAUCACAUCUCAGGGAAACCUUUUAUUGACUCUGUUUAGGUGAUGUGCUCAACAAUAAUUCACCACAUGGCCCAGGAGCCACCACCCUGGACCACAAACCCCAUAGCAGAUGCAGUCAGUACCUCACUCAUAUACCCUUGGCUCACUCCAAAGGUUACCUGCAGAUAGUUCCUUUAUGACCCGGUGUGUCUGUCUGUCGGAGGGAGUUCUUUAGCCCCUAGAGUCAGCUUGGCUGACAUGCAGGGCAGGCUGGAAAUGCUGUGGAGGUAACAACUCAGGAGCAAGCCACAUCCGGUGAGGAAAAACAAUAGAGGACAGAUAAUCCUGUUCCUUACCCUUCAGUGGGAUAAUUUUGAGGUGUGUUCUCCACAGUUUUGCAGAAGGCUUAGAGAGACUGAGUCACAGUUGUCCUCAGUGGUAACCUGCUCAUUAAUGCAUCCUUUAUUUGGUUUUCCUCCUCUCUCUGACUUCCCUUCCCCCUCACUGUGUUUUCUGGGAUAAACUCCCAAAUAAACUACUUGUACCAAAAUCCUUGCCUUGGGAUCUGCUUUCUGGGAAAUCAAAAUUAAGACAACCCCUGUAAAGGGAGGAGGCCAUCUUCCUGAGUGCCCCAUCAAGACCACAGGGACCAGGGGGAGAUCUUAGACCCCAAAACCACAUUGUGACAAUAUCUUUGCUGACAUCCCACUUUAUUUCCUUCCUUUUUUUUUUUUUUUAAGAGAUAGAAUCUUUUUCUGUGGCCAUGGCUGGAGUGCAGUGGCAUGAUCAUAGCUCACUGCAGCCUUGAACUUCUGGCGUUAAGCAAUCCUGCCUCAGCCUCCCAAGUAGCUGGAA
rnacentral:lncRNA from 10 species